rnacentral:rRNA from 1 species
CCUACGGUGUGCAGCAGUGGGGAAUAUUGCACACUGGGGGGAACCCUGAUGCAGCGACGCCGCGUGAGUGAAGAAGUAUCUCGGUACGUAAAGCUCUAUCAGCAGGGAAGAAAAUGACGGUACCUGACUAAGAAGCCCCGGCUAACUACGUGCCAGCAGCCGCGGUAAUACGUAGGGGGCAAGCGUUAUCCGGAUUUACUGGGUGUAAAGGGAGCGUAGACGGCACUGCAAGUCCGGAGUGAAAGCCUAAGGCUUAACCAUGGGACUGCCCUGGACACUGUGGAGCUUGAGUGCGGGAGGGGCAGGCGGAAUUCCUAGUGUAGCGGUGAAAUGCGUAGAUAUUAGGAGGAACACCGGCGGUGAAGGCGGCCUGCUGGACCGUAACUGACGUUGAGGCUCGAAAGCGUGGGGAGCAAACAGGAGUAGAUACCCUGGUAGUC